UAAAACUCACAGUGACAAAGAGACAGAGUAGGGUUCUAGGCCCCUGUUCCUGGGGACUUGAAGGCGGUUUUACAUACUGGUCAGACACGGCUGGAGGCCAAGGUCAAGUUGAAAGUUGCAGUCCAGCCAGCAUGAGAACUGCCAUGCGAGCGUAGAGACACAGGCAGCAGCAAAAGGCCCAUUGCCCACAUCCCCUCACUCUUAAUUUUCUCUCUCUUUUUAAAAUUCUCGCCUCUGACUCUGUUCGGCUGCCCAGAAUUUUUUGGUGCCUUCGUGGGGUUUUUGGGGCGGUGUUUACCGACUCUUCUCUGCCUCCGCCCUGCUCAGCCAGGGCUUUGAGCCUCUUCGGUUUUCCGGCCAGACCCGGAAAAACGAAAACACAGCUUGGGGAGCCCCCACUAGCCGGCGCCUGUGCCAGCUCACCUCUGGCCAUGGCGCAGCUGCCGGUGCACACGGCGGCCAAGGCCAGCUCCACAUUCUUCCCUCCCCCUCCCACUUCACCGUAGCCCCGAACCCUGCGCGCAGAGAAAGGGUCUCAGCUCCACAGACGACUGGGUCCCUCCUCACCAAAAAUGGUGAGACAAGAUUUCAUCUGUCGGCCGAGGAGCCACAAGCAGGUACCACAAAGCCACUAGUGCACAGGGACUCAGAAAAGACGGCAGGAGCCCAAGGAAAACUCCAAUUUGAGUACAGCCCUGCCUUGUUUCCCCCAGAGAGUCCCUGAGCAAGGAGACCUCCACCCCACACACACCAUUUCAGAACAACCAGGUUCCAGACUCCCAUGAGGAGCAUCUCCCACUGCAGAGCCUUGGCCAGCCGCGCCCGGACUCCUCAGAGCUGGCGCAAACUCCGUCCUCCAAAACUCGGCUCUGGGAGGCCUAAGUGACUCCGAAGCCGGCGGCAGCCGCGGCAGCGGCCGUGGUGGUGGAAGAGCUCUUUUCCCCGACAGUGCCACUGAUCGCUCUUCACUGGAGCUGGAAACAGCCUUCGCGGAAAGGACCGGAGCAUGCGUUAGAAGCAGAGGGAGCUUGGUGAAGGGCUCGGCUGGAAGGAGGAAACGCCUUCUCGCAGUGCGCGGCCAGCCCGCGGGGGACACCGGCUUGCUGGACUGCAGGGGCCCGUGCCACCCAGGAAGUGACCUGCGGGUCACUCAGCCGGGGCGCUGGGCGAGCGCGGGACGGCCCGGAGAAUUCCGUGCGGCUGCGACGGGAAAAGGACGAGGGGUCUCUGUACCCGACGCUGCCACUGGCCCAAAGGAAUUUUACCCGCGAGCGCCCACCCCACCCUAGCUUGAUGCUUACGCCCGCAACAAAACAGGAAACCAGGACUGGGCAGUGCAUUCUUUAAGUCAACAAAUACACUGAAGACUUCGAGCGUUUGAAGGAAGGAGGGGGUUUGCACGUAAGCCUGGCCCCGCCGGGCUCGGCUUUCUCGCUGAGAAAGCGGCGCAGGCAGCCAGGCGGCCUGGGCCCGCGGGGGUCCAUCUCGCCCUAGACUCCUAAGAACUCCCACGGCCCUGUUCCCAGCUGCGAAUUCUUAAUGCACAACGCGACGGAGGGAAGGAAAUUCACCAGCGCAGCGACGAGGAAGGGGAACUCAGGACCCCUUCAAGUACACACUGAGGUGUGAUCAGAGUUUUAUGGGCACUUUAUAUGCUGUAAUCAUAACGAUGUGUGUGCCUUGAUAUGCACGCAUAUUCACGCAUCAAACGUGCAUACACACACAGAGUGAAUGUGCGCAUCCAAUGUCAUGUGGGUGAAAUACAAGCAUCAUACCCAGCCCUACGAAAAAAAAAUUCACCCUGUCGGACCAGGCUGGUGACAUACUUCGCUGGCGCAUCUCCUUACUCACUCUUACUUUUCCGACCCCUCACCAUUCCCUCUCCUGUGGCUUGGUAAAUACACCUGCCCUCCGUGGAAGGUGAGUCCUGGACUGGCGUUGCCAGGUUCGCAUGUCCUCCCCAGAACCUCCGUCUGGCUCCAGGGACUCUCACUGAGCGGGUCUAGAGCACCCAGCACUUUUCAAGGAACAGCCGCGGUUCCUUUGUCCCGCGGCUCCAGCCCCGUUCGGCCCAGCUCUCAGGGAAACGAAGCGCUCAGUAAGAACUUUUGAUAUUAGUUUGUAUGGGUAUUUACACUCUGGUGAGGGGAGCUGAGUACGGAAGUUCCAUUAAUCAUACUCCAACCUUGGGUUUAGAUAUUCAGUUUAUGGGUUGGGAGAGGGAGUUUGCCGGAAAGAAAGCAUCAAGGUUGGCCGCUGACUCCAGAGAAAUGAAAAGGGAGCAAGGUCGUUUUCUGUUUCUGGAAAUCAAGAAUUAGGAAUGGGCAACUACAGGUGCUAACCAACAGACCACUUUUUUGUUUUUUGGUAGCCCUUUGGCAGGGAUAGUUUUUCCACCUUUGCCCGAUACAAUUUAAAAAAAAAAAUCCUUUUAUUAUGGAAUUUGUCAAACACACACACAAGCAUAACAAACCCCUAGGUACCCAUCUCCAAGUUUUGACCCCUAUUAUAAUUUCAUCUUCAGUGUUUUAUUAUCCACUUCCUCUCUCUCUAUCUUUAGUAUUUUAAAGUAAAUCCCAGAUAGCAUCACAUCAUUUCACCCCCACCAUAGGAUUUCAAAGAUCUGUUAUAUUUCAAGAUUGAGUAAAAGGGCUUGAAAUUGGGUUAUUGCAAUGAAACUCUAGAAAAAGCUUGAGGGUUCACCCAGGAGUAAGCUGGACAAAAAAGGGGUUUGAGGGGUGGACCCAUCUUGCCUAAAAAUCUUGUCUCAUCUUUCUAAAAAUUACAUAUGAAAGAGGAAGAUUUAUGUUACUUUUUUAUAUGAGAGAAUCGUCCUUUAAUAGAAAAUUUCUAUUGCUGCAUCAGAAUUAUGGAGGAACACAAAAAACAUACCUCAGUCCUUAGUGUGUCCUAAAUUAACACAUAUUCACUUAUUAGUGGGUAAAUGACUAUAUUUCAUUUCAGCACAACUUCUCCCCUGGUAGAAACACAAAAGAAAUUUCUAAUGAUUAAACUAGGAAAGUUUGCACUGAAUUGAUGGCUUAUCAGAGCAACCGCAGUUUUCAGGAAGAAAUUCAAUGCCAUGCGUUGAAAAUAUCCCCCUAGCAAUAAGGGAUUAUUUUUAAAAAAGAAUGAAUAAAGAUGUUCUGGUUUCUUUUGUUUUAAU
rnacentral:tRNA from 10 species